rnacentral:rRNA from 1 species
GACGAACGCUGGCGGCGUGCCUAAUACAUGCAAGUCGAGCGAACCUUUAAAAGCUUGCUUUUAAAGGUUAGCGGCGGACGGGUGAGUAACACGUGGGCAACCUGCCUGUAAGACUGGGAUAACUUCGGGAAACCGGAGCUAAUACCGAAUAAUUCUUUUCUACACAUGUAGGAAAGCUGAAAGACGGUUUCGGCUGUCACUUACAGAUGGGCCCGCGGCGCAUUAGCUAGUUGGUGAGGUAAUGGCUCACCAAGGCAACGAUGCGUAGCCGACCUGAGAGGGUGAUCGGCCACACUGGGACUGAGACACGGCCCAGACUCCUACGGGAGGCAGCAGUAGGGAAUCUUCCGCAAUGGACGAAAGUCUGACGGAGCAACGCCGCGUGAGUGAUGAAGGUUUUCGGAUCGUAAAACUCUGUUGUUAGGGAAGAACAAGUACGAGAGUAACUGCUCGUACCUUGACGGUACCUAACCAGAAAGCCACGGCUAACUACGUGCCAGCCGCCGCAGUAAGAC